rnacentral:rRNA from 1 species
UACGGGGGGGGCAAGCGUUGUUCGGAAUUACUGGGCGUAAAGGGCUCGUAGGCGGCCAACUAAGUCAGACGUGAAAUCCCUCGGCUUAACCGGGGAACUGCGUCUGAUACUGGAUGGCUUGAGUUUGGGAGAGGGAUGCGGAAUUCCAGGUGUAGCGGUGAAAUGCGUAGAUAUCUGGAGGAACACCGGUGGCGAAAGCGGCUCACUGGACCUGAUCUGACACUGAGGUGCGAAAGCGAGGGUAGCAAACGGG